UGACAAAAUUAUUUUCAAAACUUAUAAUAAACAUUGUAAGCUUAUCCAAACUUAUUUUCAAUUGACAUUUUUUCCAGUCUAAUAAGCGGUGAGUAUAGAAAAAAGUUAACAGAAGUUGUGACACAAUUCUUUUCCACCACACUCCACUAGUGAAUGCUUAAAGGAACCUGAGUUUUUCUCAUCCUCUCUCUCUCUAAUUUCCUACACAGAGCCUCCCAGAAUUUAUACCGCAGAUUUCGUUAGAUUGUCUCAAAUUCCCUCCUGGUUCCACUUCAUAACCCAUUAGUCUCUGCACUUCAUACUUACACCCUUACACGUACAAUGAAUAAAUAAAUAUUUUUCCGUCAAACCAAAAACAAAACCUGGAUUUUAUACAUUUUAGGUCUAUCCUCCCCGUAGGCUGAGAUUUUUGACCUUUUCUAACUCAAUAUGUAGAUUUUUAUUGGGUUUCUUUUAAAACUUUGAUUCAGUGUCUUUAUUGAUUUAUAAUUACCAGCAAUAAGAAAUUAGAAUUUAGGACUGGGGCUUCUACCGUAAUUUUUUUCAUCAAAGAAAGAAUUUUUUUUUUAAUCAUUUUCUGUAAUUAAGUUGGAAUGGAUCUGAGAGCUGUUGUUUGAAUUUGAGGAUUUGAUUGUUGAGAAGAAGUUAUCACUUUUGGUGUUGACUGUUGAAUGGUUAACUGUAUAAUCAAGCAAGAUUAAUUUUUUUAUUUGGGUCGUUUUUAAUUCAUUUUUCGAAAUUAAGUAUGGAUCAUGUGAUUGGAGGUAAAUUUAAGCUGGGGAGGAAGAUUGGAAGUGGAUCCUUUGGAGAGCUUUAUUUGGGUAAUUUUGAUUAACAUUUUGAACUAUAAAUUAAUGGU
rnacentral:lncRNA from 1 species